rnacentral:rRNA from 1 species
GACGAACGCUGGCGGCGUGCUUAACACAUGCCAGUCGAACGGAAAGGCCCUGCUUUUGUGGGGUGCUCGAGUGGCGAACGGGUGAGUAACACGUGAGUAACCUGCCCUUGACUUUGGGAUAACUUCAGGAAACUGGGGCUAAUACCGGAUAGGAGCUCCUGCUGCAUGGUGGGGGUUGGAAAGUUUCGGCGGUUGGGGAUGGACUCGCGGCUUAUCAGCUUGUUGGUGGGGUAGUGGCUUACCAAGGCUUUGACGGGUAGCCGGCCUGAGAGGGUGACCGGCCACAGUGGGACUGAGAUACGGCCCAGACUGCUACGGGAGGCAGCAGUGGGGAAUAUUGCACAAGGGGCGGAAGCCUGAUGCAGCAGCGCCGCGUGCGGGAUGACGGCCUUCGGGUUGUAAGCCGCUUUCGCCUGUGACGAAGCGUGAGUGACGGUAAUGGGUAAAGAAGCACCGGCUAACUACGUG